rfam:Triticum aestivum genome assembly, contig: Triticum_aestivum_CS42_TGACv1_scaffold_080538_1DS
GUUGUACUCCCUCCGUUCCGAAUUACUUGUCGCGGAAAUAGAUUUAUCUAGAACUAAAAAAUGUCUAGAUACAUCCAUUUCUACGACAAGUAAUUCCGAACGGAGGAAGUACUAU